GAGGGGCCCCCCCAGGUGGGGCCUGCGCGUUAAUUUGUCUCAACACGCAGAAUAUCACCACCCCCCCACACCGAAGGGAGUGGCAAAGUUAGAGCGCUUUCUUGAUUCUGUGGGGGGGGGUGCGUGGCGCUCUUAGUUGGGGGGGCGAUUUGUCUGGUUAAUUCCGAUAACAAACAAAACUCUGCCCUAGUCUACAAACUUGGGGUCUUUUAUUUUCCUUCUCUGCUUCUCUUGGGACGGGCGGGGUUCAGCCGCACGAGAAUGAGAAAUAACAAGUCUGUGUUUGCCUUGCAUGUUCUUGGCUGGGGCGCGCGCUCUGAGAAAUCAAAGAGUGUACCGUGUCCUAAAGGACUGAGAACCCAAGAACCUCCUACGUCGCGAGGAGGGGGGAUUAGGGAUAUUAACCAUGAACAACGAAGUCCCAGUAGACGGUGCGCGCAAGAUUCCGGCGAUUAUUCCCUGCUGCUUGGACACACGACCCGCCGCUACUACCUAUCGAGCGAAUGAGUGAUUGCGUUC
rnacentral:rRNA from 1 species